UGCUAGGGGAGCUUUUGCUGAGAUUUACCGAAAGCAUUUUGCGAAAAGAUUCGCAUUUUCGGAUAAACCCUCAUAACCUGAUCCGGUCAGUACCGGCGUAGGGAAGCGUA
rnacentral:ncRNA from 1 species